rnacentral:rRNA from 1 species
CGGGGGGGGCAAGCGUUGUUCGGAAUUACUGGGCGUAAAGGGCUCGUAGGCGGCCAACUAAGUCAGACGUGAAAUCCCCAGGCUCAACCUGGGAACUGCGUCUGAUACUGGAUGGCUUGAAUCCGGGAGAGGGAUGCAGAAUUCCAGGUGUAGCGGUGAAAUGCGUAGAUAUCUGGAGGAAUACCGGUGGCGAAGGCGGCAUCCUGGACCGGCAUUGACGCUGAGGAGCGAAAGCCAGGGGAGCAAACGGGAUUAGAUACCCCGGUAGUCCUGGCCCUAAACGAUGAGUGCUUGGUGUAACGGGUAUCGAUCCCUGUUGUGCCGUAGCUAACGCAUUAAGCAUUCCGCCUGGGGAGUACGGUCGCAAGGCUG